GGGAGACAUCGACAUCAUUUUUAUUCUUAGCAUUUCCUGUAACCGGCUGUUUGUUGCAUAAGGAAGAGCCACUGGGCUGGGUUUCACCUUAGCGGAGCUACAGCGGCCGGGUCCUCUGGAUCCUUGGAAUCAUUGGCUGGUGAAGUUCCCGAUAACUCCUUUCCCUUGUGGGCUUCUACGGGCAGCUGGGUAUUCACCUGGUUCUCGGAACACCUGGCCUCCAUGGUCUCAGGCUCUGACAACCCCAGGUGCUGUAACUGCAGCCUUCAGGACUGUAUGAUGCUGUGGUUUCUCCUUCCACCCAUCUCUUGCCGUGACUGAGGGCACUGAAGAGUCUGACAAAAUCCUUCAUCUCAAAAUACAAAUGAGUCCUUUAUGGGAAACUUAAAGGAAAACACAUCCAGCUAACACAGUCUACUAA